GGCAGAGCAGGAGCCCUCCGUGGCAGUGCUUGGGUGUCCAGGCUCUGAGGCUCCGGCCUCACCUCUCCACGGGGUCGAAGGGAACGUCUCCGGAUGCCAGGAGUCGCAAAGGGCCGACCAUGAUGAUGAAACCCCAGGCGGAGACGGGGGAAGCAGCACGGGAUCCCAGCCUCAGGCCUGCACAGACGGUGUUGGUUGGGACCAAAUGGGUCACCGGCUACUGAAAAAGAAUCCAGACCUCUGAAAGGGUUCGUGACAAAUUUUUUAGAAGUUCUCACGCUCAUCUGUUACGAUGAUUUUCUUUUCUUUUUUCUCUUUUAAAAAAGUUGGCUAAUUUGUGUUUCUAUAUUCCUCUUUAAUUUUAUUUUUAUUGGGGGUACAAAUGUUUUUAAAGGAGGGAUUUCAUUAGACCCGAAACUGUGGGGUGGCUUCCUCUCUAGCCAACUUACUAUCUCUACGCCUGUGAUUCCCAUCUCCCCCAAGAAAACAAACCAAUUAAAUGACCAGAAAACUGUACCUGGAGAAAAUGAAGUAUAUGUUGCAGGAUCCGGGACCGCGGUCUUUGCUUGCUUCAUGAAAAAUCGGCUGGUCUCCAAACUCGCGAAGGAAAAUUCAAGGCGCCUCAACUCCUCCUUUUAAAUUUUUUAAUAAAGAGCCUAGAAAGGGAACUUUCCCUGGGCCUGCCGGAGCCCCAGCCUGGCUCUCCCAACUUCCCAGCGGCCAUAAAUGUUUUUCUGCUUCCAUUCGGGCCCCCCGUCUUCCCGGACAUCUCUGAGCUCCUGCCGGAUCAAGGCUGUGGUCAUCACCUCAUUCAUCUCUGCUGCUUGGCCUGGGCCUGCACAUUUGGCCUCCUUCUUAAAACAGGGGCUCCUAGAGAGUCCCAAAAUCCAUUAACCAUUCCCAUAUGUGGGAUCCCUUCCCUGAUCACACAAAGCAGAAGCCUGAGAAAAAAAGCAAUAAAGAGUGGCCUCCUGGCUCUC
ensembl:lncRNA novel transcript